rnacentral:rRNA from 1 species
UUGGCUCAGAACGAACGCUGGCGGCAGGCCUAACACAUGCAAGUCGAACGGCAGCACAGAAGAGCUUGCUCUUUGGGUGGCGAGUGGCGGACGGGUGAGUAAUGUCUGGGAAACUGCCCGAUGGAGGGGGAUAACUACUGGAAACGGUAGCUAAUACCGCAUAACGUCGCAAGACCAAAGUGGGGGACCUUCGGGCCUCACACCAUCGGAUGUGCCCAGAUGGGAUUAGCUAGUAGGUGGGGUAAUGGCUCACCUAGGCGACGAUCCCUAGCUGGUCUGAGAGGAUGACCAGCCACACUGGAACUGAGACA